UGGGGAAUUUUGCGCAAUGGGGGAAACCCUGACGCAGCAACGCCGCGUGGAGGAAGAAGUAUUUCGGUACGUAAACUCCUUUCGAUCGGGACGAUAAUGACGGUACCGAGAGAAGAAGCCCCGGCUAACUUCGUGCCAGCAGCCGCGGUAAUACGAGGGGGGCAAGCGUUGUUCGGAAUUAUUGGGCGUAAAGGGUGCGUAGGCGGUUUUGUAAGUCUCUUGUGAAAUCUAUGGGCUCAACUCAUAGACUGCAAGGGAAACUGCAGGGCUUGAGUAUGGGAGAGGUGAGUGGAAUUCCUGGUGUAGCGGUGAAAUGCGUAGAUAUCAGGAGGAACACCUGUGGCGAAAGCGGCUCACUGGACCAUAACUGACGCUGAUGCACGAAAGCUAGGGGAGCAAACA
rnacentral:rRNA from 1 species